GGUGAUUUGGCGUAGUGGUUCAACGCACUGGAUAGUUCUCAUUCAGGAGUGUGGGUUCGAUUCCCGCAGUCACCA